UCUUCUGACCCCCCACCCUGCCUCAGUGAGCAAUGUGCUAGUUGGAGUCGGGGAGAUGGAAGAAGGAAAGCAACUUACCAGGCCAAAUGUGACCCCCCCCUGCCCCCACCCGCUCACUCAUCUUUGGAUUCCAACAUCACCCUAAACUGAGUGAAAAGAAAAGCUGCAGCUUGGGUGGGAGACCGAGACUCUGAUAUGGGAAUGGACCUGCCUUUCACAAAAGGGGUUCUCUUCCAAACCCCAAAAUGACCAACAGAGCUCUGGAAUCUGCUGCAGAUCUUUGUGAGAAGAUGGAGAAGGUGAGGAGCACCAGUAGAGUGAUUUGGAAGGAUGGAAACUGAGGCUCAGAGGCAACAAGCAAUGUGCCCCGUGAUUGUGCAAGGAAACUGCAAGAUCGUAGACUGGAACCCAGGUGCACAGUGUCCACUAACUGAGCCAUUAACUUCUGGGUGCUCUGCCAUCACCAGUUACCACACAGAUGGAUCUGAAAAAGCACUUUCUAGGUUGCAAACACCUAUGAUACACAAGGCCUUCCCUGGUGGCUCAGUCAUAAAGAAUUCUCCUGCCAAAGCAGGAGACGUGGGUUCACUUCCUGGAUCAGGAAGAUUCCCCUAGAGAAGAAAAUGACAAGACACUUCAGUAUUCUUGCCUGGGAAAUCCCAUGGACAGAGGAGCCUGGUGGGCUGCGAUCCAUGGGGUUGCAAAAGAGUCAGACACGACUUAGCAACUAAACAACAACAAAUGAUGCCCAAGGUCGUACUGUUUCCAUCUGGGUCACUCUUUAGACAAACCAAGUGUAUAUGAGCAUUUUCAUUUCUAGUCUUUGUGACGUUGAACUCUGCACAGCCAUUCUCCAUAGGACAUGAGUCAGCAAGUUGUGAGUGAGGAUGAAAAAUUGAUUUUAUGUGAUAAGGCUUAAUACGGUCACAUUUCAGACCUCAGUUCCCUCAACUCAACCACUCUGCUAGUUCAGUGGAAUACACCCAGUGAGUGGCCAAGAAAUCCUUGUGAAGACCUCACAAUGCCAUGCAAUACCCCUUCUCACAAAGAACUCUAUCAAGUCUGCCUAUGUGCCGUAGGCUGGAAAAGAUAAAGGAUGGCAUUCCUGACCCAGCCUCAGCACUCAAUCACUUUUUCUUAGAUUGCUCGUGUGAUUGUUUUGUUCUAUCAACGGAA